GAUGAACGCUGGCGGCGUGCCUAAUACAUGCAAGUCGAGCGAACGGACGAGAAGCUUGCUUCUCUGAUGUUAGCGGCGGACGGGUGAGUAACACGUGGAUAACCUACCUAUAAGACUGGGAUAACUUCGGGAAACCGGAGCUAAUACCGGAUAAUAUUUUGAACCGCAUGGUUCAAAAGUGAAAGACGGUCUUGCUGUCACUUAUAGAUGGAUCCGCGCUGCAUUAGCUAGUUGGUAAGGUAACGGCUUACCAAGGCAACGAUGCAUAGCCGACCUGAGAGGGUGAUCGGCCACACUGGAACUGAGACACGGUCCAGACUCCUACGGGAGGCAGCAGUAGGGAAUCUUCCGCAAUGGGCGAAAGCCUGACGGAGCAACGCCGCGUGAGUGAUGAAGGUCUUCGGAUCGUAAAACUCUGUUAUUAGGGAAGAACAUAUGUGUAAGUAACUGUGCACAUCUUGACGGUACCUAAUCAGAAAGCCACGGCUAACUACGUGCCAGCAGCCGCGGUAAUACGUAGGUGGCAAGCGUUAUCCGGAAUUAUUGGGCGUAAAGCGCGCGUAGGCGGUUUUUUAAGUCUGAUGUGAAAGCCCACGGCUCAACCGUGGAGGGUCAUUGGAAACUGGAAAACUUGAGUGCAGAAGAGGAAAGUGGAAUUCCAUGUGUAGCGGUGAAAUGCGCAGAGAUAUGGAGGAACACCAGUGGCGAAGGCGACUUUCUGGUCUGUAACUGACGCUGAUGUGCGAAAGCGUGGGGAUCAAACAGGAUUAGAUACCCUGGUAGUCCACGCCGUAAACGAUGAGUGCUAAGUGUUAGGGGGUUUCCGCCCCUUAGUGCUGCAGCUAACGCAUUAAGCACUCCGCCUGGGGAGUACGACCGCAAGGUUGAAACUCAAAGGAAUUGACGGGGACCCGCACAAGCGGUGGAGCAUGUGGUUUAAUUCGAAGCAACGCGAAGAACCUUACCAAAUCUUGACAUCCCUUGACAACUCUAGAGAUAGAGCCUUCCCCUUCGGGGGACAAAGUGACAGGUGGUGCAUGGUUGUCGUCAGCUCGUGUCGUGAGAUGUUGGGUUAAGUCCCGCGACGAGCGCAACCCUUAAGCUUAGUUGCCAUCAUUAAGUUGGGCACUCUAAGUUGACUGCCGGUGACAAACCGGAGGAAGGUGGGGAUGACGUCAAAUCAUCAUGCCCCUUAUGAUUUGGGCUACACACGUGCUACAAUGGACAAUACAAAGGGCAGCGAAACCGCGAGGUCAAGCAAAUCCCAUAAAGUUGUUCUCAGUUCGGAUUGUAGUCUGCAACUCGACUACAUGAAGCUGGAAUCGCUAGUAAUCGUAGAUCAGCAUGCUACGGUGAAUACGUUCCCGGGUCU
rnacentral:rRNA from 1 species